rnacentral:rRNA from 1 species
GAAAGCCUGAUGCAGCAACGCCGCGUGAGGGAUGAAGGCCUUCGGGUUGUAAACCUCUUUCAGCAGGGAAGAAGCGAAAGUGACGGUACCUGCAGAAAAAGCACCGGCUAACUACGUGCCAGCAGCCGCGGUAAUACGUAGGGUGCAAGCGUUGUCCGGAAUUAUUGGGCGUAAAGAGCUCGUAGGCGGUUAGUCGCGUCGGAUGUGAAAACCCGAGGCUCAACCUUGGACCUGCAGUGGAUACGGGCAGACUAGAGUGCGGUAGGGGAGAUUGGAAUUCCUGGUGUAGCGGUGGAAUGCGCAGAUAUCHBBADBRRVRCCAAUGGCGAAGGCAGGUCUCUGGGCAGUAACUGACGCUGAGGAGCGAAAGCGUGGGGAGCCUCYHYNDYKAGWUACCCUGGUAGUCCACGCCBUAAACBBBGGGRGRCUYACUGGGUCCGUUCCACGUACUCCGCCCGCAGCUAACGCAUGAGCGCCCCGCCUAGGAUAACGGAAGUGC